UGGGGAAUUUUGGACAAUGGGCGAAAGCCUGAUCCAGCAAUGCCGCGUGUGUGAAGAAGGCCUUCGGGUUGUAAAGCACUUUUGUCCGGAAAGAAAUGGCUCUGGUUAAUACCUGGGGUCGAUGACGGUACCGGAAGAAUAAGGACCGGCUAACUACGUGCCAGCAGCCGCGGUAAUACGUAGGGUCCAAGCGUUAAUCGGAAUUACUGGGCGUAAAGCGUGCGCAGGCGGUUGUGCAAGACCGAUGUGAAAUCCCCGAGCUUAACUUGGGAAUUGCAUUGGUGACUGCACGGCUAGAGUGUGUCAGAGGGGGGUAGAAUUCCACGUGUAGCAGUGAAAUGCGUAGAGAUGUGGAGGAAUACCGAUGGCGAAGGCAGCCCCCCGGGAUAACACUGACGCUCAUGCACGAAAGCGUGGGGAGCAAACAGG
rnacentral:rRNA from 3 species